rnacentral:rRNA from 1 species
CCUGUAACAGGCUAUUCCAUGCCCCCUUGGAAGAAAUUAUGCUAGUAUGAGUAACGUGAGGUUGUGAACCUCUCCUGGCACAAGUAUACAUCGGAACGGACCUCCCGCCGAACUUUAACGGCCCCACAAAGAGGGCACUAUAUAAUAAACAUUAAGCAAGAAGACUAUAUAGCUCACACCGUUAAUCUUACACCAGCGUGCCCCCCAGGAAAGACUUAAAGAAAGAAAAGGAAUUCGGCAAAUUUUAAGCCUCGCCUGUUUACCAAAAACAUCGCCUUCUGCAUUUAUAAGUAUAGAAGGUCCCGCCUGCCCUGUGACUUAUGUUUAACGGCCGCGGUAUUCUGACCGUGCAAAGGUAGCGCAAUCACUUGUCUUUUAAAUGAAGACCUGUAUGAAUGGCAUAACGAGGGCUUUACUGUCUCUUCUUUCUAGUCCAUGAAAUUGAUCUUCCCGUGCAGAACCGGGGAUGUUAUCAUAAGACGAGAAGACCCUGUGGAGCUUUAGGCCCAAGGCAGCCCCCGUUAAAUAAGGCCUCAUCAACGGCCUAUAGCCCUGGACUACCUGCCUUACUGCCUUUGGUUGGGGCGACCGCGGAGAACUAUCAAACCUCCAUGUGGACUGAAAGAACUAAUCUUUUAUAACUUAGAGCGGCAGUUCCAAGUCACAGAACUUCUGACCAAAAAUGACCCGGUAAAACCGAUCAGCGAACCGAGUUACCCCAGGGAUAACAGCGCAAUCCUCUUUUAGAGCCCCUAUCGACAAGAGGGUUUACGACCUCGAUGUUGGAUCAGGAUAUCCUAAUGGUGCAGCCGCUAUUAAGGGUUCGUUUGUUCAACGAUUAAAAUCCU